GAUGAACGCUGGCGGCGUGCCUAAUACAUGCAAGUCGAGCGAACGGACGAGAAGCUUGCUUCUCUGAUGUUAGCGGCGGACGGGUGAGUAACACGUGGAUAAUCUACCUAUAAGACUGGGAUAACUUCGGGAAACCGGAGCUAAUACCGGAUCAUAUUUUGAACCGCAUGGUUCAAAAGUGAAAGACGGUUUUGCUGUCACUUAUAGAUGGAUCCGCGUUGCAUUAGCUAGUUGGUAAGGUAACGGCUUACCAAGGCAACGAUGCAUAGCCGACCUGAGAGGGUGAUCGGCCACACUGGAACUGAGACACGGUCCAGACUCCUACGGGAGGCAGCAGUAGGGAAUCUUCCGCAAUGGGCGAAAGCCUGACGGAGCAACGCCGCGUGAGUGAUGAAGGUCUUCGGAUCGUAAAACUCUGUUAUUAGGGAAGAACAUAUGUGUAAGUAACUGUGCACAUCUUGACGGUACCUAAUCAGAAAGCCACGGCUAACUACGUG
rnacentral:rRNA from 1 species